UACGAAGGGGGCUAGCGUUGCUCGGAAUUACUGGGCGUAAAGCGCACGUAGGCGGAUCGUUAAGUCGGGGGUGAAAUCCUGGAGCUCAACUCCAGAACUGCCUUCGAUACUGGCGAUCUCGAGUUCGGGAGAGGUGAGUGGAACUGCGAGUGUAGAGGUGAAAUUCGUAGAUAUUCGCAAGAACACCAGUGGCGAAGGCGGACUCGCUGGCCCGAUACUGACGCUGAGGUGCGAAAGCG
rnacentral:rRNA from 1 species